UCCAGACUCCUACGGGAGGCAGCAGUGGGGAAUAUUGCACAAUGGGGGAAACCCUGAUGCAGCAACGCCGCGUGGGUGAAGGAGCGUUUCGGCGCGUAAAGCCCUGUCAGCGGGGAAGAAGAAAGACGGUACCCGACCAAGAAGCCCCGGCUAACUACGUGCCAGCAGCCGCGGUAAUACGUAGGUGGCGAGCGUUGUCCGGAAUUACUGGGUGUAAAGGGAGUGUAGGCGGGAAGGCAAGUCAGAAGUGAAAAUUAUGGGCUCAACCCAUAACCUGCUUUUGAAACUGUUCUUCUUGAGUGAAGCAGAGGCAAGCGGAAUUCCUAGUGUAGCGGUGAAAUGCGUAGAUAUUAGGAGGAACACCAGUGGCGAAGGCGGCUUGCUGGGCUUUUACUGACGCUGAGGCUCGAAAGCGUGGGGAGCAAACAGGAUUAGAUACCCUCGUAA
rnacentral:rRNA from 1 species